AAAAAAGUAAAACUUGAUGAAGAUGAUGAGGACGAUGAUGAGGAUGAUGAGGAUGAUGAUGAUGAUGAUUUUGAUGAAGAGGAAACUGAAGAAAAGGUCCCAGUGAAGAAAUCUGUACGAGAUACCCCAGCCAAAAAUGCACAAAAAUCAAACCAAAAUGGAAAAGACUUAAAACCGUCAACACCGAGAUCAAAGGGUCAAGAGUCCUUCAAAAAACAGGAAAAGACUCCUAAAACACCAAAAGGACCUAGUUCUGUAGAAGACAUUAAGGCAAAAAUGCAAGCAAGUAUAGAAAAAGGCGGUUCUCUUCCCAAAGUGGAAGCCAAGUUCAUUAAUUAUGUGAAGAAUUGUUUCCGGAUGACUGACCAGGAGGCUAUUCAAGAUCUCUGGCAGUGGAGGAAGUCUCUUUAA
rnacentral:lncRNA from 1 species